rnacentral:rRNA from 1 species
AGCAGCCGCGGUAAUUCCAGCUCCAAUAGCAUAUAUUAAAGUUGUUGCAGUUAAAAGCUCGUAGUUGAAUUUCGGGAUCAGUACGCCGGUCGUGCCUUAGGUAUGUACUAGUGUCACUGAUUCCUCUCUUCUGACGAACCGUCAUGCUAUUAAUUUAGUGUGGCGGGAAAUCAGGACUGUUACUUUGAAAAAUUGAGUGUUUAAAGCAGGCUCACGCUUGAAUACAUUAGCAUGGAAUAAUGAAAUAGGACGUUGAUCUUAUUUUGUUGGUUUCUAGGAUUGACGUAAUGAUUAAUAGGGAUAGUUGGGGGCAUUAGUAUUCAAUUGUCAGAGGUGAAAUUCUUGGAUUUAUUGGAGACUAACUACUGCGAAAGCAUUUGCCAAGGAUGUUUUCAUUAAUCAAGAACGAAAGU